rnacentral:rRNA from 2 species
ACGGCGAAGCUCUGAACUUAAGCGCCAGUAAACGGCGGUGGUAACUAUAACCAUCCUAAGGUAGCGAAAUUCCUUGUCGGGUAAGUUCCGACCUGCACGAAUGGCGUAACGACUUCUCCACUGUCUCAACCACGAACUCGGCGAAAUUGCACUACGAGUAAAGAUGCUCGUUACGCGCAGCAGGACGGAAAGACCCCGGGACCUUUACUAUAGCUUGGUAUUGGUGUUCGGUACGGCUUGUGUAGGAUAGGUGGGAGACUGUGAAGCGGCCACGCCAGUGGUCGUGGAGUCAUCGUUGAAAUACCACUCUGGUCGUUCUGGACAUCUAACCUCGGUCCGUGAUCCGGAUCAGGGACAGUGCCUGGUGGGUAGUUUAACUGGGGCGGUUGCCUCCUAAAGGGUAACGGAGGCGCCCAAAGGUUCCCUCAGCCUGGUUGGCAAUCAGGUGUCGAGUGUAAGUGCACAAGGGAGCUUGACUGUGAGACAGACAUGUCGAGCAGAGACGAAAGUCGGGACUAGUGACCCGACGGUGGCUUGUGGAAGCGCCGUCGCUCAACGGAUAAAAGGUACCCCGGGGAUAACAGGCUGAUCCUGCCCAAGAGCUCAUAUCGACGGCAUGGUUUGGCACCUCGAUGUCGGCUCGUCGCAUCCUGGGGCUGGAGUCGGUCCCAAGGGUUGGGCUGUUCGCCCAUUAAAGCGGUACGCGAGCUGGGUUUAGAACGUCGUGAGACAGUUCGGUCCCUAUCCGCUGCGCGCGUAGGAAACUUGAGGAGAGCUGUCCCUAGUACGAGAGGACCGGGAUGGACGAACCACUGGUGUGUCAGUUGUCCUGCCAAGGGCACCGCUGAUUAGCUACGUUCGGACGUGAUAACCGCUGAAAGCAUCUAAGCGGGAAGCACACUUCGAGAUGAGGUUUCCAUGCCCCGCAAGGGGUGAGAGGCUCCCAGCUAGACUACUGGGUUGAUAGGCCGGACGUGGAAGCACAGCAAUGUGUGGAGCUGACCGGUACUAAUAAGCCGACAACUUAAACAA